CUUCCCACAAGGAGUCUUCACGCUCUGUCUCCAUAUUUGGCUCUCAACUCAUCUAUACUUCAAAGGGCUCACCUCUUUUCCCUCACUCCUACCAUCUUCAGGACAAGUGACACUACCCAGGCCAUAAGGUUCUUAAGAGCAGAGAAUAUUGUUUCUGUAAUGAUUCUCGGCAAAAGCACUCAGUUACAGGAUUCAUACCACAUGAUAGAUUCUAAAUCUUGGGAACAGAAUCAAGAAUCCAGAAAUGGAUGGAACCACACGUAUAUGAACAACUGAUUUUCAACAAAGAUAAAAAGGAAAAGCUCACCUAUGAAAGGGUGCUUCUCUCCAGCCAGACAAUAGGAGUAGGGAAGAGACCGAUGCUGAAUGACUCACGAAAAUACUGCAGGAAAUGACAGGACCGUCCCCAGAAGUCCCUUCCACUGCCUUUUGCCGGCUUGCUACAUAGAAGCUUGCAAGAAGGAUGAAUCACAAGAAAAAGGCAUAUUGUAACCUCACAUCAUAAAUUUUACAAAACUGCUUCAUAAAAAAUAACUUUGGGUCCAGGAACUCCACUAGAAAAAUGUCCAACCUGUCUUCAAAUUUGGGAACUUUGAAAAGUUUACAUACCAGCAGGUCAAGAUUCAGUUCAUACAUCUUAGUGCUUCAGUGUACUAUAUUUGGCUCGGAAACUGAAUGCCCCUUUUCUGGCAAACCACACUGUAUUCAUAGGUGUGAGCUCUUAAUAGAGCUUUGUCAAGUUGCCAUCAAACAUAUGGGCCUGGUUCCUCUAGUUCUCUAAUAAAGAACAAGUAGUUCAACUUAUUAGAUGGUGUUAAUAUUCCACGUCCGGAAAACCAAGAAUUUAAAGAGCAAUAAGCACUCUGGCAGAAAAUGACCCCAAGCCCAUCAGUCUGAAAUAGGCUGGGUGGGUUAAGGAGAGCACAGGCCUUUUAGUCUAUUUCUAUUGCAUUGUUUCUAUUUGCAUUUAAAUCCUCAGAAGCUUAUGCUUCUGUUAGUCUUGAGUAUAUCAUAAGUGCUUUGUCUUUUGUUCUUCCCCAAAGCAGACCCUGGGAUAAGUUCUUAGAUGAAGGGAUUUAGUUUAGGAAGUGAUGCAGGGGAGCACAGCUUGGGAGUACGAAAUGAGGCAGGAAAGAGAAGGAAGCCACGAGGGUGCAAUAAUGAGCAUUGCCAUCAUGGGCAACUGAGGCUUAGCCCUCCUGGGGCCACUCUGGGAGACUGUAGGGAGCAUGCCUCAGAACCGCCCCUCUGAGUGGGACACAAGCUGGUGUGUGCCCCUCAGUGCCCACCCCUCACUGGCCUGCUCAGCUUGAUGGCCGAGAAUGCCCCCUUAUUUGGCCAGAGGAUGCCUCUGGGAAGGGAGAUGAGAGAAUCCACUCUGCAGCUGUCCUUCAAGGCUGGGCCAAAGCAAUGUGAGCAGGGCACCAGCAACAUGGACUUCUUCCUAAAAGUACAUGUUUAUGCUUAUUUGUUCGACUUGACUUCUACAUUUUUUCAGACCUCAAUGUCUACUCAAUCACCCGAUCUUUCUUUUUUUCUCUCUCUCUGUUGCAUUCCUCAUUGAAGUUGGAUGCCUGCUCUCUCCUGAGAGGAACUAAUGUGGCCACACAGACCUAAAUUUCUCCUUCAGUUUCAGGACACCUACACCACCAUGUAAUGCCAUCCCACUGAAUCCAGACGAAGACUCUGACCAAG
rnacentral:lncRNA from 10 species